CAGCCAUCUCCUCUCCUCUCCCUGCACUCCUGUAUCACCUUGGGUAAAAUCCAGGGACGGAGAACAAUCAACGGCUUGUUUCACCCAGGGUAGAACUUGGCAGGAACCCCUGGAAUUGCUGUCACCACCUUUCCCACUCCAGGGUAAUUCAUAAGUGUCUGCAUUUCCAUGGCACGAGGGGGAGAGAGAGAGAGAGAGAGAGAGAACCGGUAACCCUCUACCUACAAAAACCAGCACUGGGAGCAUUCUAGGGGGAGGAGGAAGAAAGGUUCAGAGGCCUUUGACAAUAAACUCCCGACCACGAUGUUCCAGGACCGGGAUGGACAAACUUCUGCCACUGGACCAAAUGUGGCUUGCCACUUUUUGAGAAGUUCGUGAUCUCCUGUCCUAGGAAAAACCACGUGUCUGCGACAGAGACUUGUGGGGAGGGUCUCAUCACUGGUGAGUAGACAUUUAUUUAACCCUUGGUUUCUGUACAGCACCCACGCCUCAGCUGUUCCCGGUGGCCUCAGUCCAGCUGGGUCCAGUUGGUAGCCGAGGGGUGCGG
rnacentral:lncRNA from 1 species